UGGGGAAUAUUGGACAAUGGGCGCAAGCCUGAUCCAGCCAUGCCGCGUGAGUGAUGAAGGCCUUAGGGUUGUAAAGCUCUUUCACCGGAGAAGAUAAUGACGGUAUCCGGAGAAGAAGCCCCGGCUAACUUCGUGCCAGCAGCCGCGGUAAUACGAAGGGGGCUAGCGUUGUUCGGAAUUACUGGGCGUAAAGCGCACGUAGGCGGAUAUUUAAGUCAGGGGUGAAAUCCCAGAGCUCAACUCUGGAACUGCCUUUGAUACUGGGUAUCUUGAGUAUGGAAGAGGUAAGUGGAAUUCCGAGUGUAGAGGUGAAAUUCGUAGAUAUUCGGAGGAACACCAGUGGCGAAGGCGGCUUACUGGUCCAUUACUGACGCUGAGGUGCGAAAGCGUGGGGAGCAAACAGG
rnacentral:rRNA from 5 species